GAGCGUCACAAUAGGAUGACAUCAGUAUGAGGCUGUGUUCUCCAGUGGAAUGUCCUCAGCUCUCUCCAGCAUGGGGUGUUGAUUCUACUUGUUUGCAGUUCUGCCUGUUCCCCAUCAUCCUGUCUGGCUGAGCUCAGAGGGACCUUGGCUCAGAAUGUUUUGUAACUCAGGGGUUCGCCAUUUCUGAAGCUUUCCUGACACUGCUCUGCACACUUCCCUGUCAGACCUGCAAGUUGGUUACCUUCAAGUGCAGUCGGCUGAUCACAUGUGGGUUUUAAGUCACAGCAGGUGGUGCAGUGGGCAGACUGGGGUUUGAGUCCUGCCUUCCCUUUUACUAGCAGUGUGGGCUUUGACUCACGCUGGCUUUAGCUUCUUUGAGCUUCGAUUUCCUCACCUGUCAAAAGGGGAUGAUAAUUCCUGCCUUGGAAAAUGUUUCCUAUAAUAUUUUGGUUAGCACUGGCACAUGGCAAGUUUCAAAAAUAUCACCUACUAUUUUAUCAUUUUUAUUAUCAAGGCAAAGUGUUUUUAGCCUGAAUCUAGAUUCCUCAAAAAGAUCUUGUUGAGAACGUUUUAAGUUCCCAGAUCUUUUGUUUCCUCUUUCUCUCUGUCUCUCUCUCUCUUUUUUUUUUUUUUUUUUUUUGAGACAGGGUCUCAUUCUGUUGCCCAGGCUGGAGUGCAGUGGUGCAUACAUAGCUCACUGCACCCUGGCCUCCUGGGCUCAAGUGAUCCUUCCACUUCAGCCUCCAGAGUAGCUGGGACUAUAGGCAUGCACCACCACACCUGGCUAUUUUUUUUUUUAAUUUUUGUCAAGAUAAGGUAUCGCUUUGUUGCCUAGGCUGGUCUUGAACUCUUGGACUCAAGUGAUGCUCCUGCCUCAGUCUCCCAAAAUGCUGGGAUUAGAGGGUUUCUCUCUUUUUUAAUGGUCUUUUAUUUAUAUUACUAAGUUUCAUGAUAGGAUUGUCCAGGUUAGGGUCAGAAGAAAAGGAAAGAAAUAUCAACUGGAAUUCAUGCUGGCAGAAUUUAACUCCAUGUUUCAGAAACCCACACAAUUCAAGUUGUAGAUGAGGACAGUCGUCAGAAGUAAGACACAAACGCCAUCCAGCACUUCUGAAUAGUACUUUUGUUCCGUGAACAUCUCUUUUCUGAAAAGGACGAUUGGUCAGCGCUGUUCUCUGAGUGCCGCGCGUAGCCACGCAGCCGCAGGCGUCUGAACCCAACUGGCCACUCUCUGACCUGCACCCCACUUCGCUCCUCUGUAGAAGAGGGAUAAUACCAGUAUCUGUUUCAGAGGGCUGUGGGGAAGAUUAGACCGUGCCCAUCCGUGGCUCGGCACAGAGUCAGCACCAGGUGAACGUUGGUGAUGCUGCCCGGCCUUCCUCCCUCUAGACACCCAGACACUGAGCGUGGGCUGGACGGGACCCGGCCAUUAUCUUCUUGGAGCCUAUUCCUGUCGGGUGAAGAAAAACAGGCCUGAUGGGAGCAGGAAGCGAGUUGUUCAGGGUCUCACCGAGUCAUAUCCCAAGGUCUUUGAGGGAUGUCUAGGGAUGCCGCGGUGCUAGCCCGGCAGAGAGGCCGAGGUUCCUGCAGGGAGACCCGUCCCUUCCUCCUCGGCCCCGCGGUCCGGGCGCCCCUUGGGCCUCGCUCCUUGCCCACCAGCCGGGGGGUCUCCGGGUUCGGGCUCUGACCGGGAAGCCCCCAGAGCAGGGGGCGGAGGGCACCUGGAUUUCCUGCGCGACGUGGAAGGAGAAAUGAAUUUAGCCGCGGCAGAAGGUGGCGCAAAGAGAAGGCAGCGCGCUGCGCCCCCCGGGAAGGAGGCCGCCCGUUCGCUCCGGCCUUCGCCAAGCAUUUGCAAUUUAAUUGACAUUGGCGGCAGGAAGCCAAUCAGUCUAAGUCAAUUGACGUUCCGAGAUAAAACUAAUCGGCGGCCCGCG